rnacentral:rRNA from 1 species
UACGAAGGGGGCUAGCGUUGUUCGGAUUUACUGGGCGUAAAGCGCACGUAGGCGGAUUGUUAAGUCGGGGGUGAAAUCCUGGAGCUCAACUCCAGAACUGCCUUCGAUACUGGCGAUCUCGAGUUCGGGAGAGGUGAGUGGAACUGCGAGUGUAGAGGUGAAAUUCGUAGAUAUUCGCAAGAACACCAGUGGCGAAGGCGGCUCACUGGCCCGAUACUGACGCUGAGGUGCGAAAGCGUGGGGAGCAAACAGG